CAGCACCUCAAGUGGUCAGGAUGAUUAUUGGGCCUAAAGCAUCCGUAGCCGGCUCUGUAAGUUUUCGGUUAAAUCUGUACGCUCAACGUACAGGCUGCCGGGAAUACUGCAGAGCUAGGGAGUGGGAGAGGUAGACGGUACUCGGUAGGAAGGGGUAAAAUCCUUUGAUCUAUUGAUGACCACCUGUGGCGAAGGCGGUCUACCAGAACACGUCCGACGGUGAGGGAUGAAAGCUUGGGGAGCAAACCGGAUUAGAUACCCGAGUAGUCC
rnacentral:rRNA from 1 species